AUUGAACGCUGGCGGCAUGCCUUACACAUGCAAGUCGAACGGCAGCACGGGUGCUUGCCCCUGGUGGCGAGUGGCGAACGGGUGAGUAAUACAUCGGAACAUGUCCUGUAGUGGGGGAUAGCCCGGCGAAAGCCGGAUUAAUACCGCAUACGAUCCACGGAUGAAAGCGGGGGACCUUCGGGCCUCGCGCUAUCGGGUUGGCCGAUGGCUGAUUAGCUAGUUGGUGGGGUAAAGGCCUACCAAGGCGACGAUCAGUAGCUGGUCUGAGAGGACGACCAGCCACACUGGGACUGAGACACGGCCCAGACUCCUACGGGAGGCAGCAGUGGGGAAUUUUGGACAAUGGGCGAAAGCCUGAUCCAGCAAUGCCGCGUGUGUGAAGAAGGCCUUCGGGUUGUAAAGCACUUUUGUCCGGAAAGAAAUCCUUGGCUCUAAUACAGUCGGGGGAUGACGGUACCGGAAGAAUAAGCACCGGCUAACUACGUG
rnacentral:rRNA from 1 species